UGUUACUCCCCUGUCUGUUACUACCCUGUCUGUUACUCCUCUGUCUGUUACUCCUCUGUCUGUUACUCCUCUGUCUGUUACUCCUCUGUCUGUUACUCCCCUGUCUGUUACUCCCCUGUCUGUUACUACCCUGUCUGUUACUCCUCUGUCUGUUACUCCUCUGUCUGUUACUCCCCUGUCUGUUACUCCUCUGUCUGUUACUCCCCUGUCUGUUACUCCUCUGUCUGUUACUACCCUGUCUGUUACUCCUCUGUCUGUUACUCCCCUGUCUGUUACUCCCCUGUCUGUUACUACCCUGUCUGUUAUUCCUCUGUCUGUUACUCCUCUGUCUAUUACUCCCCUGUCUGUUACUACCCUGUCUGUUACUCCUCUGUCUAUUACUCCCCUGUCUGUUACUCCCCUGUCUGUUACUCCUCUGUCUGUUACUCCCCUGUCUGUUACUCCUCUGUCUGUUACUCCUCUGUCUGUUACUCCCCUGUCUGUUACUCCUCUGUCUGUUACUCCUCUGUCUGUUACUCCCUGUCUGUUACUCCUCUGUCUAUUACUCCCCUGUCUGUUACUCCUCUGUCUGUUACUCCCCUGUCUGUUACUACCCUGUCUGUUAUUCCUCUGUCUGUUACUCCUCUGUCUGUUACUCUCCUGUCUGUUACUCCUCUGUCUGUUACUACCCUGUCUGUUACUACCCUGUCUGUUAUUCCUCUGUCUGUUACUCCUCUGUCUGUUACUCUCCUGUCUGUUACUCCCCUGUCUUUUACCCUGUCUAUAACUACCCCUUUCUGCUCUCUGUUCAUCUGUCUUUGCAGGAGAUUUUAAUCGUAAUUUUUGCUAAACAAUAAGACAAACAUCUGCAUUUGUAAAGCACUACUCUUCACCUCAAAUGACUUCACAUAUCCUAGAGUUCUAUUUUAACAACUCUAACACAAUGGUACAUUAUGUGACUGCAUUGGGCAGGACAAAAAAGCUUUCAUUGAGGGGAGUGGCGGCUAUGCUUGGUGUUUAAUCUAAUGAAAUGAAAAAUAAGCAAUCUGAUUUUUAAAACCAAAAUAAUAUUUCUAAAUAGGAUGGGGUGAGAAGCUAAAUUUAAUAAAUGUCAUCUCUUGUUCCAUGGCACUGGUGCUCACGUGGGCCUACAGGUCUUUACACAUAACAUUUACACUUCUGUACAAAAUACUAGCCUCCUGUCAGUUGUAUUGUGGCCUAUGUGUGAGACACAUUCUCAAAAACAUCUGCCGUAGAUAUGGCAUGACAGAAGGACUGAAUAGUUUGGAGGAGCACGUCUUGAGUGCUGAUCUUGGGUCAGUUUAGCAUUUUCCCAACCAAUGGUUAAGGUUAGGAUUGGGUUGAGGGAAGACUAAAACAGGUUUUAUUAUAUCUUUAGCCCAACUCAAAAUGAGAAUUUGACAUUUUCAUCACUUCUCUACAACAUUGCUGUAUAGUUAUGAUGUUAUAAUUGUCCCUUUUUGACAAUUAUUGGUUAAUUCUAGGUUGAAUCUCAUCAUUCCACAUUGCUACACAAUGCUGUUUGAUGAGUUUGAACUAAUCAGAGUUUUUAACACAUUUGGAUCGAAACCACAUCCUGCACCACAUCUGUGUUAAUAGGAUUUAUGUUUCCAUGACAACAUAUUUAAGUGACAUCACAACAUUGAGCAGUUAUAGAGGUCUUCUGAAUGGCUCAGCUCUCCAAUCUUACAUAAGACCUCAGCAACGAGCUUCAGAGUAAACAAAUCUGCUGAGCGAGACGAAGUCAAGGAGACAGCAUUUUGAUGGGCAUGGAUAUCAUAGAAAUGGUGGAGGUCGUGGGCAUCGCCCUGGGAGUCAUAGGAUUAAUACUGACCAUCGUGGUCUGUGCUCUCCCCACCUGGAUAGUGCCAACCAUCAUACAGGCGAAUGUUGCCACCACAGAGGUGGUCUUGUACGGCCUGUGGAUGAGCUGUGUGGCCCAAGGCACGGGACAGACACAGUGUGAGGUGUACAACUCCAUGAGGUAUUUGCACCACUUUCUGCAGCCUGCCAGAGCCAUGAUCCUCAGUGCCAUCAUCCUGGGGGUUCUGGGGGUCAUGUUCUCCAUUGUCGGAGCCAAGUGCACCAACUGCAUCAAAGACAAAACAUCUCAGGCCAAGUUGAUAAUUAUCGCUGGAAUACUUUUCAUUGGUGCCGGAAUUCUUAUCCUCAUCACUGUUUCCUUGGUAGCAAUAUUUAUCAUCAUCGACUUCCACAUGUGGAUCGAAGGAAAGCCUGAGCUGGGGGCCUCGCUGUACUUCGGCUGGGUGGCGGCUGCCCUGCUCCUGAUUGGAGGGGUCAUACUGGGCAUCACUGUGGGAGUGUUUGGAUGGAUGAUGGGAAUCUUUGGAUGGAUAGUCUCCCUAGUGUCCUGUGCUCUCUCUAUAUUGCUCCCAUUCCGUUUUUAUCCUGAGCCCCUCUAUAGGGACAUAUGGAUGGUUCUGAUGACAAUCACUUCCAUCUUCACCAUCCUGGGAUCUCUAGGAGUGAUGGGCUCCAUCUUUGGGACCAGGUGCUGUAACUGCAUCAAGAGUAACAGGAUCAAGGCCAGGUUCAUCGUUGGAACAUUCUUCAUCCUGGCUGGUAUCCUGCAGCUCACCACUGUGUUUUUGGUUGACCAUUACUUAAGAACGGAUGUCCACCUGCAGCUCAACCCAUUUGUCCUGUUUACCCAUAAUGACCUGGUUAUUUUAGCUGAAUUCAAUAGGUGGUCCUCCUCCAUGCUGCUGAUAGGAGGGACCAUACUCUGCUGCUGCAUCUACAAGAGGAACCAGUCAGACUCAACGACAACUCAAUCAGCCUCCCGCUAACAGCUCUUUAUGUCAUAUUGUGUUGGGAUCGUAGUCUGGUGCAGCUGCUGCUGUUACUGCUUUAACAGAGAGGCUGUACUUUAUUUUAAUGAAAACAAUGGAGAGAAUAUAAUUGUGAUUCUAUAUGUAAUUCUAUGAUAAAACGGCCUCUAUCCUUUCUGUUCAGUGUUUAACAGUCAGAAAGGACCUGAUAGGUGUUAAAGCAACAUAGUUAUUGUUCCACCUUGUCUUUAACACGUCAAAGGGGAGUUUAUGAAACAUUGUGUUCAAAUAUUCAGUUAAUUUAGACUGGGAGUUCCUGAGGAGACUCUGCAAUGAAGGGACAUAUU